UACAGAGGUCUCAAGCGUUUGUUCGGAUUCAUUGGGCGUAAAGGGUGCGUAGGUGGCGCCGUAAGUCGGGUGUGAAAUUUCGGAGCUUAACUCCGAAACUGCAUUCGAUACUGCCGUGCUUUGAGGACUGGAGAGGAGACUGGAAUUUACGGUGUAGCGGUGAAAUGCGCAGAUAUCAGGAGGAACACCGGUGGCGAAGGCGGGUCUCUGGGCCGAUACUGACGCUGGAGGAGCGAAAGCGUGGGGAGCGAACAGG
rnacentral:rRNA from 1 species